UACGGAGGGUGCAAGCGUUAUUCGGAUUCACUGGGUUUAAAGGGCGCGUAGGCGGCCACCGCAAGUCGGUUGUGAAAUCUCCGGGCUUAACCCGGAAAGGUCAAUCGAUACUGCGGGGCUAGAGUGCAGAAGGGGCAACUGGAAUUCUCGGUGUAGCGGUGAAAUGCGUAGAUAUCGAGAGGAACACCUGGCGGCGAAGGCGGGUUGCUGGCUGACACUGA
rnacentral:rRNA from 1 species